CUAGGCAGAAGCUCUCACGGAGCUAUGCCCAGCCUGACCCUGUGCCACCUUCCAUUUUCUAGAAACACUGAAGCAUACCUGAUUGAACUUGAUCGAGAUGCUAGUGAAGACGGAAUGUUGGUUACUUCCUGGUAUCCAGCUUGUAACCAGCAGCCAAGCCUUCCUCUUGGACGCCUCUGCCGAUGCAGCCUUCGUCCAGAGCCCAGUGCAGGCACUGCCUUUCUUGGUGAGAUGAGGGCCUUGCUACUCUUUGCCCAAUCAAACACACACAAACCGUAGGUGCUCACAUUGUGAGUAACUUCCUAGUGUUCUGUACAUCAAAAGAAUAAUGAAGGUUAUUUAAACCUGUCUUUUAAAAGCAACAGCUCUCACUGACAUUUGAGACCGGCUUGCUUUCUUUUUCAUCCUAGCUCAGAACUCACUAUGUCUCUAAGCUGGCUCAGAACUUGGAGCAGUCUUCCUGCCUUAGCCUUCUGAAUCCUGAAGUAAGCCACGUGUAGUGGCCAUCUUUUAAUUACUGUAGUUUUUGCACAGAACAGCUUUGCGUUGAGGCUUGUAGAGAACUGAGUAGUGGUGUUUAUGCUGAUGGUAAGAGCUCUAGGCCAUUGGUGGUAGAACCAAGUGUGUGCAGGAGUGAUGAGCUGCUUAGUACCUGUGGACAGAAACUGACAAGGAACAGCACGAGGAGAAGGGAGCCGUUGUUGCCAGCAGCUGCCCUCAAGUCUACUCUGUCUUACACUGAAGGAUGACGAGGUGCUGCUGCCUAUACAGGACAACCUCAUCUCUUUUUGGUGUUGACCUGCUUAAGAAAUAACUGUUAAUCAACAAAGCUUGACCAAUUUUGAUAUCUUUUAUAGACACUUCUAAAAGUACCCCCAAACUGUCUGAGAUGGUCCCAUUUUUUUCUUUGCUAAAAUGUACUGAUUAAACCCCACAAUAA